AGGGAAUAUUGCGCAAUGGGCGAAAGCCUGACGCAGCGACGCCGCGUGAGUGAUGAAGGCCUUAGGGUCGUAAAGCUCUGUUGUACGGGAAGAAAAAAAUGACGGUACCGUAUAAGAAAGGAUCGGCUAACUUCGUGCCAGCAGCCGCGGUAAUACGAGGGAUCCUAGCGUUGUUCGGAAUCAUUGGGCGUAAAGGGUGUGUAGGCGGCCAAGUAAGUCAGUUGUGAAAGCCCCGGGCUCAACCCGGGAAGUGCUUCUGAUACUGCUUGGCUUGAGUAUUGGAGAGGUGAGUGGAAUUCCAGGUGUAGUGGUGAAAUACGUAGAUAUCUGGAGGAACACCGGCGGCGAAGGCGGCUCACUGGCCAUAUACUGACGCUGAAACACGAAAGCGUGGGUAGCAAAC
rnacentral:rRNA from 1 species